GAUGAACGCUGGCGGCGUGCUUAACACAUGCAAGUCGAACGAAGAUAUUAAGAAUGAGAGCUUCGGCAGGAUUUCUUUCUAUCUUAGUGGCGGACGGGUGAGUAACGUGGGGGCAACCUGCCCUGUACUGGGGAAUAAUCACUGGAAACGGUGACGAAUACCGCAUGUGGUCCUUGGGAGGCAUCUUCUGAGGAAGAAAGGAUUGAUUCGGUACAGGAUGGGCCCGCAUCUGAUUAGCUAGUUGGUGAGAUAACAGCCCACCAAGGCGACGAUCAGUAGCCGACCUGAGAGGGUGAUCGGCCACAUUGGGACUG
rnacentral:rRNA from 1 species